rnacentral:rRNA from 1 species
AGUGAACGCUGGCGGUAGGCCUAACACAUGCAAGUCGAACGGCAGCACAGUAAGAGCUUGCUCUUACGGGUGGCGAGUGGCGGACGGGUGAGGAAUACAUCGUAAUCUACUUUUUCGUGGGGGAUAACGUAGGGAAACUUACGCUAAUACCGCAUACGACCUACGGGUGAAAGCAGGGGAUCUUCGGACCUUGCGCGAUUGAAUGAGCCGAUGUCGGAUUAGCUAGUUGGCGGGGUAAAGGCCCACCAAGGCGACGAUCCGUAGCUGGUCUGAGAGGAUGAUCAGCCACACUGGAACUGAGACACGGUCCAGACUCCUACGGGAGGCAGCAGUGGGGAAUAUUGGACAAUGGGCGCAAGCAUGAUCCAGCCAUACCGCGUGGGUGAAGAAGGCCUUCGGGUUGUAAAGCCCUUUUGUUGGGAAAGAAAAGCAGCAGGUUAAUACCCCGCUGUUCUGACGGUACCCAAAGAAUAAGCACCGGCUAACUUCGUG